rnacentral:rRNA from 1 species
UACGUAGGGGGCAAGCGUUGUCCGGAUUUACUGGGCGUAAAGGGCGCGUAGGCGGCGCGGUAAGUCACUUGUGAAAUCUCUGAGCUUAACUCAGAACGGCCAAGUGAUACUGCAGUGCUAGAGUGUGGAAGGGGCAAUCGGAAUUCUUGGUGUAGCGGUGAAAUGCGUAGAUAUCAAGAGGAACACCUGAGGUGAAGACGGGUUGCUGGGCCAACACGUGACGCUGAGGCGCGAAAGCGUGGGGAGCGAACAGG